rnacentral:rRNA from 1 species
AUUGAACGCUGGCGGCGUGCCUAAUACAUGCAAGUAGAACGAGUUGCGAACGGGUGAGUAACGCGUGGUAACCUGCCUCAUAGCGGGGGAUAACUAUUGGAAACGAUAGCUAAUACCGCAUACUGUGAGAUGGACCUGCGUUGUAUUAGCUAGUUGGUGAGGUAAAGGCUCACCUAGGCGACGAUCCCUAGCUGGUCUGAGAGGAUGACCAGCCACACUGGAACUGAGACACGGUCCAGACUCCUACGGGAGGCAGCAGUGGGGAAUAUUGCACAAUGGGCGCAAGCCUGAUGCAGCCAUGCCGCGUGUAUGAAGAAGGCCUUCGGGUUGUAAAGUACUUUCAGCGGGGAGGCGUUACCCGCAGAAGAAGCACCGGCUAACUCCGUGCCAGCCGCCGCGGUAAUUC